AUACUUUCCUGGCAGGGAAGACAGCAGGGUCACAAAGGUGGUUUUCCCAGGGCGAGGCUUAUCCAUUGCAUUCCGGAUGUGCUCACCCCUGUGAUUUCCCCAAAUGUGGGAAACUCAGCUGCAUAAUUUGUGGGAGUGGGGACUGCAUUUGAGCUAGG